UUGUUUUAGGAAUGACACGUAAGAUUCUACCCUGAAGUGAUCAAAGUUUGCUAAAAGGAUAAUUCGGUACAAGGCAAUUCCGGAAAUUGGAGAAAAAAAACUUUAUUUGAAGCCUUAUUAUCUGAUUGCUAUUCUAUGCUGGGACUGUAUAUGUAUUCAUCGUAACAGAGACCUGACGCAGAGAUAGAUUGGAAAUAUAGGAUCUCUGACAUGAGAAAUACGUUAUCCAGACCUCAUAUAAUCAUGAUUAUCAAGCUCCUGAUUUAAAUAUGAAGGCAGUAAAAGUGCAUAGUAAAGCUAGAAUCCAUAUAAUAAAUAUUUCAAACAGAAAUUACAAAUAUUAUUGAAACAACACUCAAGAAAUGACUUUGGCAACUUUGGAAGCAAUGAUUGUGAAAUUACGCUCUAAUUAAAGGUAAACUGCAAUCACUAGCACUGUAGCUUGUUAUUAUGUAUCAGCUCUAGAUAUUUUAAUAUAUUACUUCUAGAUGAAUGUUAAAAAUAUUUCUGAAGAACUACGAAACGCAUAACUGAAUUCUGCCACUCUUUAAAUUUAACCUGAAAACAGAAAUUUAGUAUUGAAAAGUGUAAUUAAAAAUUCAUUAUGACCUGAUGUUCAUAAAAUGUCAUGUGUUUGUGCAUCAGAUUGUAGAUCGAAGUACACUUAACAUAGGGAAGAAGGGAUGAGUUUUGAAAUACCGUUCGUACAUUCACUUAUUCCAGCUCUGAAAGUCAAUUAUUCAGGAGACAUGCCUUAUGCUUACAUCACAUUAAAUAUGAAGCUAAGAUCCUGAAGAAAAGAGAUAAAUAAUAACUUGUUUUGUGAGAAGUCAUAAAGGUCUUUUGUAAUCCAAAAACGCACAUAAAAAAAAAAAAAAAAAAAAAAAAA